UACGUAGGUGACAAGCGUUGUCCGGAUUUACUGGGCGUAAAGAGCGCGCAGGCGGUCGUUCAAGUCGAGUGUGAAAGCCCCCGGCUCAACUGGGGAGGGUCACUCGAUACUGAUCGACUCGAAGGCAGGAGAGGGAAGUGGAAUUCCCGGUGUAGUGGUGAAAUGCGUAGAUAUCGGGAGGAACACCAAUGGCGAAGGUAGCUCGCUGGGACGGUACUGACGCUGAGACGCGAAAGCGUGGGGAGCAAACAGG
rnacentral:rRNA from 1 species